CACAAUAUGUUGAGAUGUGCUAUUUUGACAACACUUAUUCAUCUUGUUCAGGGAUUAGGAGCAGACAGCAAGAACCUGUACCCUUUCCUGCUCCCAGUUAUUCAACUGAGUACAGAUGUUUCACAGCCUCCACAUGUUUAUCUUCUGGAAGAUGGUUUAGAAUUAUGGUAAGAGGAAAAACUUAAUACCAUGGAUCUUAUUUUAUUCGUGACCUUUCCUACUCUCAUGCCAAUAAAGUUAAGGUCAUGUAAUAGGGCUUUAAAAACAAAGAAUGGAAACUCUGUUUCUUCAAACUGGGGCAUAUAUCUCCUUUUUUUGGCAGCUGUUCCUCAGUGUAGGAUUAUAGUAGACAGAGGGGGACAUUUCAAUAGGAACUCAGCUGCAUUUCAUCUUUUGGAAUUUGUCAUGUAAUAUGGGGUCUUGGUAACUUUUCCAAAAAGUUACUGACUUACAAUUUCCAGUCUGUUAAAUGAGAUGUUUGGGGGAUAUUGAGGUCCUCUUACUACUUAACCAAGUAUUGAGAUAUUAUACCUCAGCUCCAAAUGCUAAUGCGACUUACAGUCUUAACUUACUGUUCUACUGAGUAAAUUAGUAGUAUGCGUUAUUAAGAGGUCAAAAAAAAAUGCCCUGCUUCUGUGGCAGCUCAGUGU
rnacentral:sRNA from 1 species